UACGUAGGAGACGAGCGUUGUCCGGAAUCACUGGGCGUAAAGCGCGUGUAGGCGGGUCCGCAAGUCUGCUGUGAAAACUCCUGGCUUAACCGGGAGAGGUCGGUGGAAACUGCGAACCUGGAGGACGGUAGAGGCUGGUGGAAUUCCCGGUGUAGUGGUGAAAUGCGUAGAGAUCGGAAGGAACACCUGUGGCGAAAGCGGCUCACUGGACCAUUACUGACGCUGAGGCACGAAAGCUAGGGGAGCAAACAGG
rnacentral:rRNA from 1 species